UCCCUACGGGGGGCAGCAGUGGGGGAUAUUGGACAAUGGGGGAAACCCUGAUCCAGCGACGCCGCGUGAGUGAAGAAGUAUUUCGGUAUGUAAAGCUCUGUCAGCAGGGAAGAAAGAAAUGACGGUACCUGACCAAGAAGCCCCGGCUAACUACGUGCCAGCAGCCGCGGUAAUACGGAGGAUGCGAGCGUUAUCCGGAUUUAUUGGGUUUAAAGGGUGCGUAGGCGGUCCGGAAAGUCAGCGGUAAAAGCCCGGGGCUCAACCCCGGCGAGCCGUUGAAACUGUCGGACUAGCGACGUCGAGAA
rnacentral:rRNA from 1 species